AACACGGUGUGACCCAUGUCUGAGGCCGAGCGGAUCCGGCAGUGCUGGACUCUCCCACUGCGCCUGCACAACAUGUCGGGUGUCACCAGUAGAACCACUGAGAUUUGCAUCUGGAUCUCAGCAGUGGUGAGCUAGCACAACAGACUGGUGUGCCACUUGAGCACCUGGACCAUAUCAUGGAAAUGUCUCCUUGUCUACCCGCCAUCUUUCCUUCUGGCUGCACACUGUCACACAUACAGACGUAUCCUAUCACUUAAAGCUGUAUGUAAAUACAAAUAAAGAACGUUA